UACAGAGGUCUCAAGCGUUGUUCGGAUUCAUUGGGCGUAAAGGGUGCGUAGGCGGCGCGGUAAGUCGGGUGUGAAAUCUCGGAGCUUAACUCCGAAACUGCAUUCGAUACUGCCUUGCUCGAGGACUCGAGAGGAGAUUGGAAUUCACGGUGUAGCAGUGAAAUGCGUAGAUAUCGUGAGGAAGACCAGUGGCGAAGGCGGAUCUCUGGAGAGUUCCUGACGCUGAGGCACGAAGGCCAGGGGAGCAAACGGG
rnacentral:rRNA from 1 species